rnacentral:rRNA from 1 species
GUAGGUGGCGAGCGUUGUCCGGAUUUACUGGGCGUAAAGGGCGUGCAGGCGGUCUGCUAAGUUUAGGGUGAAAGCUCCCGGCUCAACUGGGAGAGGUCCUUGGAUACUGGCAGACUUGAGGGAGGUAGAGGAAAGUGGAAUUCCCGGUGUAGUGGUGAUAUGCGUAGAUAUCGGGAGGAACACCAGUGGCGAAGGCGGCUUUCUGGGCCUUUCCUGACGCUGAGACGCGAAAGCGUGGGGAGCGAACCGGAUUAGAUACCCGGGUAGUCCACGCUGUAAACGAUGAACACUAGGUGUGGGGGUAUCGACCCCCCCUCCGUGCCACAGCUAACGCAAUAAGUGUUCCGCCUGGGGAGUACGGCCGCAAGGCUA